rnacentral:rRNA from 1 species
AGUUUAUUGGCGGCAGUUAAAGGAUUCAAAUGACUCUUAGAAUAAUGAUAAAACAUUAUUAAAUUUAGUAAAGGGGAUUGAAAUCUAAUGUUUUUGCAUGAGUAAAGUACUGAGAAGGAAAUUUGAAAACUGAAUACUAGAAAUGUUUAAAGUUUGUACCUUUUGCAUCAUGGCUUAACUAGAUAACUACCUGGAUGGGAAGUCUCGAAACCCAGUGAGCUAUCCUUAGUCUGUUUUAUAGAUCUUGUUAAUGAGUUGGUUGUGGCAAAAACUUCUCUAGAACUAAGGAUAGAUAUGAAAUUUUAUUCGCACGGGGUGAUAGCUAGUUCUUUUUUACGGGCAUAUUAGUGCUUCUAGCCAUAGAUUUGAAUAGUACAAAUGAAAUUGUAAUUAUUUAUACUGGCUUAGUUAGACUUCUGAGGAUAAGCUCGGAGGUAUGUUUUGAAAUUGUAAUUAAUUUUUUUUUAGAUAUAAGCUUAGUAAUGGUUAUUGAUAUAGGACUUUGUUAUAAUUCAUUUUCUGAUUACCAAUAUAAUUUGUUUACUUAAUAGUAUAAGAAAGAAAUUUUAAUAACUAGAUGUAAAAUGAUUUUAUGUUAAGAUGAGUAUUAAACUAUUUGUUAGGAAACUAAUAAUAUUAAAACUUAGUGUUGUAUAUAAUUUUUAUAGAUGAAAUUGUAAAAAGGAACUCGGCAAACCCGUAUUCUGCCUGUUUAUCAAAAACAUGGCUUCAUGUUAGUGCUAAAAUAUGAAGUCGGACCUGCCCAGUGAGUUUUAAACGGCCGCGGUACUCUGACCGUGCAAAGGUAGCAUAAUCAUUUGCCUUAUAAUUGAAGGCUGGAAUGAAUGGUUUGACAAGAAUACACCUGUCUCUUUUAAAUUAUCUAGAAUUUUAUUUUUGGAUGAAAAAGUCCAGAUGAAAUUAAAAGACAAGAAGACCCUAUCGAGCUUAAAAAAAGUUAAUAGAUUCGGUGUGAAUCAAUAAUGAGUAAAAGAAGGACUAUUAAACAUUUUGGUUGGGGCAACCGAGGAGCAGAUGAAGCCUCCUUUAAGGCCAAAAAUCUUACUUGCAUUGAUCCAAGCAUUAUUGAUCAGAGGAAUUAGUUACCGUAGGGAUAACAGCAUUAUCUUUUUCAAGAGCCCAUAUCGAAAAAAAGGUUUGUGACCUCGAUGUUGGACCAGAAUGUCCUAAAGAUGCAGAAGUCUUUGAGGGUUGGUCUGUUCGACCAUUAAAAUUCUACGUGAUCUGAGUUCAGACCGGCGUGAGCCAGGUCAGUUUCUAUCUUUAUAUUUUUUGGCUAUAUUCAGUACGAAAGGACCGAUGUAGCGUAUAAGAUGCUUUAGUUAGAUUAAAUAUAAUUCGACUUUAAG